CUGACAAUAUGGAGCUGUUACGGCGUUCGUUCAGAGGACAGCUAUCAAAAAAGUCGUUCCCGAAACUGCAAACUGCUGGCUACGAAUUACGUUCUCGGCCGCUCCCGCUGCCUGACGAGAUUGGAGGGAACGGGAAGAAGCAGCCGCCGAAAAGAAGCGAGAGAAGGAAAAGGAGAAACGGCGUAACAAAACGGGUUAGCGCGAGCAUUGGAGAGGGAACGGGAUCGUAGCGAACGGGACCUCAGCUCAGUUUCCAGCUCGAGCAACGAGCAUCACGGAAGCCAGGACUCGCCGCCAGCGAAAUCAACAGCAGCAGUUUGUUCGUGGUCCCAUGAGGCUAGACAUGUUUCUAUUAUUAUUAUUUUCACUUUUGAGUGGUUUUUGGCUAGGACCUACGUAGUGUUUUGUUUUUAUUAUUAAAAAUAAAUUUUAAAGGUAA